rnacentral:misc_RNA from 1 species
CCUCCUUUCUAAGGAAACCAAUAAAAUCAAUCAUCUUCAGUUUUGAAAGACUUAGGCAACUAAGUUUUUCUUCGUGACUUCACGAAGGGCCUAUAGCUCAGUUGGUUAGAGCACACGUCUGAUAAGCGUGAGGUCGGUGGUUCAAGUCCAUUUAGGCCCACCAGAGUUAUAGGUUUCGUAAGAACACAAAUUCUUUGAAAAUUAGGUAAAUAAUAGUUAUUUAUCCGGAACAUUAAAGGAAAU